GUUAAGCGACUAAGCGUACACGGUGGAUGCCCUGGCAGUCAGAGGCGAUGAAGGACGUGCUAAUCUGCGAUAAGCGUCGGUAAGGUGAUAUGAACCGUUAUAACCGGCGAUUUCCGAAUGGGGAAACCCAGUGUGAUUCGUCACACUAUCAUUAACUGAAUCCAUAGGUUAAUGAGGCGAACCGGGGGAACUGAAACAUCUAAGUACCCCGAGGAAAAGAAAUCAACCGAGAUUCCCCCAGUAGCGGCGAGCGAACGGGGAGCAGCCCAGAGCCUGAAUCAGUGUGUGUGUUAGUGGAAGCGUCUGGAAAGGCGCGCGAUACAGGGUGAC
rnacentral:rRNA from 1 species